UACGAAGGGGGCUAGCGUUGCUCGGAAUCACUGGGCGUAAAGCGCACGUAGGCGGACUCUUAAGUCGGGGGUGAAAUCCUGGAGCUCAACUCCAGAACUGCCUUCGAUACUGGGAGUCUUGAGUUCGGGAGAGGUGAGUGGAACUGCGAGUGUAGAGGUGAAAUUCGUAGAUAUUCGCAAGAACACCAGUGGCGAAGGCGGCUCACUGGCCCGAUACUGACACUGAGGCACGAAAGCGUGGGUAGCAAACAGG
rnacentral:rRNA from 1 species